CACUAUCGUUAACUGAAUACAUAGGUUAACGAGGCGAACCGGGGGAACUGAAACAUCUAAGUACCCCGAGGAAAAGAAAUCAACCGAGAUUCCCCCAGUAGCGGCGAGCGAACGGGGAGCAGCCCAGAGUCUGAAUCAGCUUGUGUGUUAGUGGAACGGUCUGGAAAGUCCGACGGUACAGGGUGAUAGUCCCGUACACCAAAAUGCACAGGCUGUGAACUCGAAGAGUAGGGCGGGACACGUGGUAUCCUGUCUGAAUAUGGGGGGACCAUCCUCCAAGGCUAAAUACUCCUGACUGACCGAUAGUGAACCAGUACCGUGAGGGAAAGGCGAAAAGAACCCCGGCGAGGGGAGUGAAAAAGAACCUGAAACCGUGUACGUACAAGCAGUGGGAGCACCUUCGGGUGUGACUGCGUACCUUUUGUAUAAUGGGUCAGCGACUUAUAUUCUGUAGCAAGGUUAACCGUAUAGGGGAGCCGCAGGGAAACCGAGUCUUAACUGGGCGUUAAGUUGCAGGGUAUAGACCCGAAACCCGGUGAUCUAGCCAUGGGCAGGUUGAAGGUUGGGUAACACUAACUGGAGGACCGAACCGACUAAUGUUGAAAAAUUAGCGGAUGACUUGUGGCUGGGGGUGAAAGGCCAAUCAAACCGGGAGAUAGCUGGUUCUCCCCGAAAGCUAUUUAGGUAGCGCCUCGUGAACUCAUCUUCGGGGGUAGAGCACUGUUUCGGCUAGGGGGUCAUCCCGACUUACCAACCCGAUGCAAACUACGAAUACCGAAGAAUGUUAUCACGGGAGACACACGGCGGGUGCUAACGUCCGUCGUGAAGAGGGAAACAACCCAGACCGCCAGCUAAGGUCCCAAAGUCAUGGUUAAGUGGGAAACGAUGUGGGAAGGCACAGACAGCCAGGAUGUUGGCUUAGAAGCAGCCAUCAUUUAAAGAAAGCGUAAUAGCUCACUGGUCGAGUCGGCCUGCGCGGAAGAUGUAACGGGGCUAAACCAUGCACCGAAGCUGCGGCAGCGACACUAUGUGUUGUUGGGUAGGGGAGCGUUCUGUAAGCCUGCGAAGGUGACCUGUGAGGGUUGCUGGAGGUAUCAGAAGUGCGAAUGCUGACAUAAGUAACGAUAAAGCGGGUGAAAAGCCCGCUCGCCGGAAGACCAAGGGUUCCUGUCCAACGUUAAUCGGGGCAGGGUGAGUCGACCCCUAAGGCGAGGCCGAAAGGCGUAGUCGAUGGGAAACAGGUUAAUAUUCCUGUACUUGGUGUUACUGCGAAGGGGGGACGGAGAAGGCUAUGUUAGCCGGGCGACGGUUGUCCCGGUUUAAGCAUGUAGGCUGAUUGUCCAGGCAAAUCCGGAUAAUCAAGGCUGAGGUGUGAUGACGAGGCACUACGGUGCUGAAGUAACAAAUGCCCUGCUUCCAGGAAAAGCCUCUAAGCAUCAGGUAACAUUAAAUCGUACCCCAAACCGACACAGGUGGUCAGGUAGAGAAUACCAAGGCGCUUGAGAGAACUCGGGUGAAGGAACUAGGCAAAAUGGUGCCGUAACUUCGGGAGAAGGCACGCUGGUGUGUAGGUGAAGUCCCUGCGGAUGGAGCUGAGACCAGUCGAAGAUACCAGCUGGCUGCAACUGUUUAUUAAAAACACAGCACUGUGCAAACACGAAAGUGGACGUAUACGGUGUGACGCCUGCCCGGUGCCGGAAGGUUAAUUGAUGGGGUUAUCCGUAAGGAGAAGCUCUUGAUCGAAGCCCCGGUAAACGGCGGCCGUAACUAUAACGGUCCUAAGGUAGCGAAAUUCCUUGUCGGGUAAGUUCCGACCUGCACGAAUGGCGUAAUGAUGGCCAGGCUGUCUCCACCCGAGACUCAGUGAAAUUGAACUCGCUGUGAAGAUGCAGUGUACCCGCGGCAAGACGGAAAGACCCCGUGAACCUUUACUAUAGCUUGACACUGAACAUUGAGCCUUGAUGUGUAGGAUAGGUGGGAGGCUUUGAAGCGUGGACGCCAGUCUGCGUGGAGCCAACCUUGAAAUACCACCCUUUAAUGUUUGAUGUUCUAACGUUGGCCCCUGACCGGGGUUGCGGACAGUGUCUGGUGGGUAGUUUGACUGGGGCGGUCUCCUCCCAAAGCGUAACGGAGGAGCACGAAGGUUAGCUAAUCCUGGUCGGACAUCAGGAGGUUAGUGCAAUGGCAUAAGCUAGCUUGACUGCGAGCGUGACGGCGCGAGCAGGUGCGAAAGCAGGUCAUAGUGAUCCGGUGGUUCUGAAUGGAAGGGCCAUCGCUCAACGGAUAAAAGGUACUCCGGGGAUAACAGGCUGAUACCGCCCAAGAGUUCAUAUCGACGGCGGUGUUUGGCACCUCGAUGUCGGCUCAUCACAUCCUGGGGCUGAAGUAGGUCCCAAGGGUAUGGCUGUUCGCCAUUUAAAGUGGUACGCGAGCUGGGUUUAGAACGUCGUGAGACAGUUCGGUCCCUAUCUGCCGUGGGCGCUGGAGAAUUGAGGGGGGCUGCUCCUAGUACGAGAGGACCGGAGUGGACGCAUCACUGGUGUUCGGGUUGUCAUGCCAAUGGCACUGCCCGGUAGCUAAAUGCGGAAGAGAUAAGUGCUGAAAGCAUCUAAGCACGAAACUUGCCCCGAGAUGAGUUCUCCCUGAGACUUUAAGUCUCCUGAAGGAACGUUAAAGACGAUGACGUUGAUAGGCCGGGUGUGUAAGCGCAGCGAUGCGUUGAGCUAACCGGUACUAAUGAACCGUGAGGCUUAACCUU
rnacentral:rRNA from 1 species